rnacentral:rRNA from 1 species
AGAGUUUGAUCCUGGCUCAGGACGAACGCUGGCGGCGUGCCUAACACAUGCAAGUCGAACGGGGUUACAUUGAGGAAGUUUUCGGAUGGAAUUGAUGUAAUCUAGUGGCGGACGGGUGAGUAACGCGUGAGUAACCUGCCUCGAAGAGGGGGAUAACAACGAGAAAUCGUUGCUAAUACCGCAUAAGACCACAGGGCCGCAUGGUCCAGGGGUCAAAAAUCCGGUGCUUUGAGAUGGACUCGCGUCCCAUUAGGUAGUUGGUGAGGUAACGGCCCACCAAGCCGACGAUGGGUAGCCGAGCUGAGAGGCUGAUCGGCCACACUGGGACUGAGACACGGCCCAGACUCCUACGGGAGGCAGCAGUGGGGAAUAUUGGGCAAUGGGCGCAAGCCUGACCCAGCAACGCCGCGUGAAGGAUGAAGGUUUUCGGAUUGUAAACUUCUGUCCUCAGGGACGAAAGAAAUGACGGUACCUGAGGAGGAAGCCCCGGCUAACUACGUGCCAGCAGCCGCGGU